rnacentral:rRNA from 1 species
GAUGAACGCUGGCGGCGUGCCUAAUACAUGCAAGUCGAGCGAACGGACGAGAAGCUUGCUUCUCUGAUGUUAGCGGCGGACGGGUGAGUAACACGUGGAUAACCUACCUAUAAGACUGGGAUAACUUCGGGAAACCGUAGCUAAUACCGGAUAAUAUUUUGAACCGCAUGGUUCAAAAGUGAAAGACGGUCUUGCUGUCACUUAUAGAUGGAUCCGCGCUGCAUUAGCUAGUUGGUAAGGUAACGGCUUACCAAGGCAACGAUGCAUAGCCGACCUGAGAGGGUGAUCGGCCACACUGGAACUGAGACACGGUCCAGACUCCUACGGGAGGCAGCAGUAGGGAAUCUUCCGCAAUGGGCGAAAGCCUGACGGAGCAACGCCGCGUGAGUGAUGAAGGUCUUCGGAUCGUAAAACUCUGUUAUUAGGGAAGAACAUAUGUGUAAGUAACUGUGCACAUCUUGACAGUACCUAAUCAGAAAGCCACGGCUAACUACGU